rnacentral:rRNA from 1 species
CGGGGUGAGUAACGCGUGAGAAUCUGCCUUCUGUCGGGGACAACCAUUGGAAACGAUGGCUAAUACCGGAUGAGCCUACGGGUAAAAGAUUUAUUGCCAGAAGAGGAGCUCGCGUCUGAUUAGCUAGUUGGUGGGGUAAAAGCUCACCAAGGCAUCGAUCAGUAGCUGGUCUGAGAGGAUGACCAGCCACACUGGGACUGAGACACGGCCCAG